rnacentral:rRNA from 1 species
UUACGUUGUUAUCCCUAAGGUAAUUUAAUCUUAUAAUCAAAAUAAAUGGAUCAAAAAAAUAUACAUAAAUAUACAAAAACAAAGAGGAGUUAAAUAAUUUCCUCCCAUCACCCCAACAAAACAAUUAUUCCUACUCAACGUCAAAAUAAACAAACAACAAACAAAUAAGGAAACUGUCAAACUCUAUAGGGUCUUCUCGUCCCAUAAAAACAUUUAAGAAUUUUAACUCAAACCCCAAAUUCAAUAAACCAAUGCCUCUAAGACAGCUUAUGUCUCGUCAAGCCAUUCAUACCAGAUCACAAUUAAAGAACUAAUGAUUAUGCUACCUUUGCACGGUCAAAAUACCGCGGCCCUUCAACUUAACAGUCAGUGGGCAGGCCAUACUUCAAAAACUAACAAGAAAAGAUGUUUUUGAUAAACAGGCG